rnacentral:rRNA from 1 species
AUGAGUACACUUUAAAUCCUUUAACAAGGAUCCAUUGGAGGGCAAGUCUGGUGCCAGCAGCCGCGGUAAUUCCAGCUCCAAUAGCGUAUAUUAAAGUUGUUGCGGUUAAAAAGCUCGUAGUUGGUUCUGCGUGCCGCGCUGUCGGUUCGCCGCCUGUCGGUGUAACUGGCAUGUCGCGGCAUGUCCUGUCGGUGGUGAGCGAGGAUCCUUGGUGCAAGCUAGGCUUAAUUGCCCAAGUUUGUUCCGUGGUAUUUUCGUUUGCCGAUUUCUCCUACUUCGGUGCUCUUAAACGAGUGUCGAGGUAGGCCGACACGUUCACUUUGAACAAAUUAGAGUGCUUAAAGCAGGCUGAAAUAUCUGCCUGAAUAGUGGUGCAUGGAAUGAUAAAAUAGGACCUCAGUUCUAUUUUAUUGGUUUUAGGAAUAUGAGGUAAUGAUCAAUGUGGACUGGCGGGGGCAUUCGUAUUGCGACGUUAGAGGUGAAAUUCUUGGAUCGUCGCAAGACGCACUAGAGCGAAAGCAUUUGCCAAGUAUGUCUUAAUUGAUCAAGAACGAAAGUUAGAGGUUCGAAGGCGAUCAGAUACCGCCCUAGUUCUAACCAUAAACGAUGCCAGCCAGCGAUCCGCCGAUGUUCCUUUAAUGACUCGGCGGGGAGCUUCUAUCCGGGAAACCAAAGCUUUUGGGUUCCGGGGGAAGUAUGGUUGCAAAGCUGAAACU